rnacentral:tRNA from 1 species
GAACGUAUCCCGCGGAACGCGGACUGGCCUCCGAAGCCAGGGGUCGCAGGUUCGAUUCCUGCCGGGCGCGCCA